rnacentral:rRNA from 1 species
UACGAAGGGUGCAAACGUUGCUCGGAAUCAUUGGGCGUAAAGCGCACGUAGGCGGCUUGCCAAGUCGGACGUGAAAGCCCCGGGCUCAACCUGGGAACCGCGCUUGAGACUGGCACGCUAGAGUUCGGGAGAGGAUGGUGGAAUUCCCAGUGUAGAGGUGAAAUUCGUAGAUAUUGGGAAGAACACCGAUGGCGAAGGCAGCCAUCUGGACCGACACUGACGCUGAGGCGCGAAAGCGUGGGGAUCAAACAGG